UACAGAGGUCUCAAGCGUUGUUCGGAUUCAUUGGGCGUAAAGGGUGCGUAGGUGGCGCCGUAAGUCGGGUGUGAAAUUUCGGAGCUUAACUCCGAAACUGCAUUCGAUACUGCGGUGCUUGAGGACUGGAGAGGAGACUGGAAUUCAUGGUGUAGCAGUGAAAUGCGUAGAGAUCAUGAGGAAGACCAGUGGCGAAGGCGGGUCUCUGGACAGUUCCUGACACUGAGGCACGAAGGUCAGGGGGAGCAAACGGG
rnacentral:rRNA from 1 species